rnacentral:rRNA from 1 species
CCGUGAACCUUUACUAUAGCUUGACACUGAACAUUGAGCCUUGAUGUGUAGGAUAGGUGGGAGGCUUUGAAGUGUGGACGCCAGUCUGCAUGGAGCCGACCUUGAAAUACCACCCUUUAAUGUUUGAUGUUCUAACGUUGACCCGUGAUCCGGGUUGCGGACAGUGUCUGGUGGGUAGUUUGACUGGGGCGGUCUCCUCCUAAAGAGUAACGGAGGAGCACGAAGGUUGGCUAAUCCUGGUCGGACAUCAGGAGGUUAGUGCAAUGGCAUAAGCCAGCUUGACUGCGAGCGUG